UUUUCAUGUGCUCUGCCCCUGGGAGCACUGCUAUAUUAAAGGGUGGGGGGUCAUACACUGUCCAGGGCCUUGCCCUUCAGAUGUUUUUUGAAGAUUGUUACUUGCUCUCUGUUGUUGUGACUUUGGUUAUUUUAUUUCCCUACUCUUGGACCCUCCCCCAGGUGUGCUUUGAUUUGUUCCUCGAUGUAGCCCUGGAAAGGAAAACAACCAGAGAAACCAACGGGAAACAAAAACACGCAAACACACAGACAAAUAAAGCAAACAAACAAACAAAAACAAUCCAAAAGGAAAAAACCAGAAACACCAUCUACAGGUAAAGAACAGGGUGGAGGCGGUGCUGAUGGAAGAGCAUAUACAAAGACAUAAAUGACAGUCUUGUGAUAAUCAGCAUAAUUUCACCUCCUGAAUUUGAAUGAAUUAUGGGACAUAACCAAGAUCAGACUGUAGACAUCUAAGAUUGAAGGCCAUGGCCUGGAUCCUAAUGAACUCACCAGGGCAAAUAAACCCUGUGAGAUGGUCCUGCAGCAGCCAAUCAAUGCUCUUUUGUGCCACCCAGUCCCUGCUGUGUAACUUUGAGUUUCUAUAAAUCCAUUAAGGUCCCAAUAAAUUUUGUGUCUCAGUGC